rnacentral:rRNA from 1 species
GACGAACGCUGGCGGCGUGCUUAACACAUGCAAGUCGAACGGAAAGGCCCUGCUUUUGUGGGGUGCUCGAGUGGCGAACGGGUGAGUAACACGUGAGUAACCUGCCCUUGACUUUGGGAUAACUUCAGGAAGCUGGGGCUAAUACCGGAUAGGAGCUCCUGCUGCAUGGUGGGGGUUGGAAAGUUUCGGCGGUUGGGGAUGGACUCGCGGCUUAUCAGCUUGUUGGUGGGGUAGUGGCUUACCAAGGCUUUGACGGGUAGCCGGCCUGAGAGGGUGACCGGCCACAUUGGGACUGAGAUACGGCCCAGACUCCUACGGGAGGCAGCAGUGGGGAAUAUUGCACAAUGGGCGGAAGCCUGAUGCAGCAACGCCGCGUGCGGGAUGACGGCCUUCGGGUUGUAAACCGCUUUCGCCUGUGACGAAGUGUGAGUGACGGUAAUGGGUAAAGAAGCACCGGCUAACUACGUG